GAGUUUGAUCAUGGCUCAGAUUGAACGCUGGCGGCAUGCCUUACACAUGCAAGUCGAACGGCAGCACGGGAGCAAUCCUGGUGGCGAGUGGCGAACGGGUGAGUAAUAUAUCGGAACGUGCCCAGUAAUGGGGGAUAGCCCGGCGAAAGCCGGAUUAAUACCGCAUACGACCUACGGGUGAAAGCGGGGGAUCGCAAGACCUCGCGUUAUUGGAGCGGCCGAUAUCAGAUUAGCUAGUUGGUGGGGUAAGAGCCCACCAAGGCGACGAUCUGUAGCUGGUCUGAGAGGACGACCAGCCACACUGGGACUGAGACACGGCCCAGACUCCUACGGGAGGCAGCAGUGGGGAAUUUUGGACAAUGGGCGCAAACCUGAUCCAGCCAUGCCGCGUGUGGGAAGAAGGCCUUCGGGUUGUAAACCACUUUUGUCAGGGAAGAAACGGCUCUUACUAAUAUUAGGGGCUAAUGACGGUACCUGAAGAAUAAGCACCGGCUAACUACGUACCAGCAGCCGCGGUAAUACG
rnacentral:rRNA from 1 species